GAUGAACGCUUUCUUCUUUCCUAAUACAUGCAAGUCGAGCGAACAGACGAGGAGCUUGCCCCUCUGACGUUAGCGGCGGACGGGUGAGUAACACGUGGAUAACCUACCUAUAAGACUGGGAUAACUUCGGGAAACCGGAGCUAAUACCGGAUAAUAUAUUGAACCGCAUGGUUCAAUAGUGAAAGACGGUUUUGCUGUCACUUAUAGAUGGAUCCGCGCCGCAUUAGCUAGUUGGUAAGGUAACGGCUUACCAAGGCAACGAUGCGUAGCCGACCUGAGAGGGUGAGCGGCCACACUGGAACUGAGACACGGUCCAGACUCCUACGGGAGGCAGCAGUAGGGAAUCUUCCGCAAUGGGCGAAAGCCUGACGGAGCAACGCCGCGUGAGUGAUGAAGGUCUUCGGAUCGUAAAACUCUGUUAUUAGGGAAGAACAAAUGUGUAAGUAACUAUGCACGUCUUGACGGUACCUAAUCAGAAAGCCACGGCUAACUACGUG
rnacentral:rRNA from 1 species